CUUGGUUGCCAAUGCAACCAUAUUACAAACAGCAAGAAUGUUGGCAGUGAAAGUCCCAAAAGGAAUCCAUUUUAACGAUCCGCCACGUCCAUUAAAACGAGCUAAGAACAACCUGAUCCAGACACCAAAAGGUCCUACUAUACAGGCCAAGAAUAGCUGAGCUCCAGCACUGUCAUUCUUGGAAUUGUACUUUGUGAAACUCCCAAACACGCUCAAUAAUACGCAAAAUAUCAAUAACAUCACCACGAGGCCUGUCAAUAGGCAAUGUCGUUCGUGUGAAUUACAAAUACUUUUGAAUCUAGAGAUGACACAAUUAGAACUUUUAUUCAAUCUAGUGAGGACCCAUUUAAAACUUUUGGCAGAAUGAAUUCCAAAUACGAUUGAAGAAGCAGCUAGGAAGAAGCGCUCAAAGUAAAUUUGGGUAAAGUUAAAGCAAAAUACAACACAUUAUUUAAUAGUAUCAUGAUUGUAAUAAAGCACAUCUAUUCAAUACAUGAUUGAACUGUUUAAUAUGGCUAAGUAUGUUUAUGAUGGACAUGAUAUAUAUGAUGCAUGAUAUUUCUGUAAUAUACAAUACAUUAUACAAUCAUUCUAGUGAACUAAUUAGCCUAUGCAUGGACAUUAAAAAAUGUUAUAUAGCACAUGCAUUCAAAAUUACAAACAUACCAGUUGUGCACUUAUGUUUAGACACUAGCAUGUUGACUCGACUUGGAGAAUGUUCAUUUGAACAUGUUUCUACCUGUCAGUUUUGAAUAGAGUCAACUAGGAAACCAAUUCUUUCAUUGUCCUUGCGUAGUUAUAAAGUCAAUUUUGAUACAGCAAAGUACCUAUAAGAAUGUCAAGAAAAGCAAACAUCCAACAUCCUUCAUGAC
rnacentral:lncRNA from 1 species